UACGUAGGGAGCAAGCGUUGUCCGGAAUCAUUGGGCGUAAAGCGCGCGUAGGUGGCCUCGUAAGUCCGCUGUGAAAGUCAAAGGCUCAACCUUUGAAAGCCGGUGGAUACUGUGAGGCUAGAGUACGGAAGAGGCGAGUGGAAUUCCUGGUGUAGCGGUGGAAUGCGCAGAUAUCAGGAGGAACACCAAUAGCGAAGGCAGCUCGCUGGGACGUUACUGACACUGAGGCGCGAAAGCCAGGGGAGCAAACGGG
rnacentral:rRNA from 1 species